AAGAUUAACAACAAUCGAAUGAAGAAUAGAUGUACAUGUUAACGAUUGAAUGAAAUGUACAAAGAAAAAUCAGUCAUCGAAGUAAAGACGAUAUAACGUAUAGAAUAUAAAGUUGGAAUCAGCUCGAAGAGAUCUAAUUGAUAGAUUAGACAGGGUUAAUUUUCAAUUCUUAUUCCGUUCGCGUGCCUAUACCAGUGCGAUCAAUUCGGUAUUAUUAAUUCGUAUGUUAAGAAUGAAUUAAUAACAUCGGAUAUUCUUCAUCGAUGAAUCACAUCAAUGAAGAAUAAUCGCAUGCGUGCUUGUAUACGUACUCGCAUCGUUGCACUUGGUACAUAUUAAAUUCAAUUGAUUUUUAAUAAAAAGUCUAGUUCGCUUAAUUUAUUAUUUAUAAAAAUUGAAUUUCAUAAUGUUUUAAUUAUGUUACAGGUUAUUAAUUUUUUUAAGUAACGUAAUAUAUUAUAUAUUAUAUCGGCAUACAACGAGCUAGUAAGCAGGGCAAACGAUCGACCGGAUAAGGCAAUGAUUGGCGUUGCAACGGAUCACCAUGAUAGUAGAGCUCGAGAUGUCGGGAAUAAAAUAUACGAAGCCAAUGUCUUUUUUCUUAUCAUUACGUAUAUAUCGUACAACCGUCAACAUCUUAUUUCAGGAUAAAAAUACGCGAACGUUGGAUCAAGCGAGAAGGUAAAUUUUUUUCUGAAUUAUUUUUUUCUUUUACAUAAAAAAAAAAAAAAAGAGAAUGCGUUAACGAGUACAUCGAAGAAUGCGUACAACGUACAAGUGAAUAACGUGUUUAGCAUGGUCUUUUAUCGGCAAUUAUAAUAAUUUUUCCAACAUGAUUCACGAUUAAAAUUGUUGACCGUUAAUAGUCGAAGGAAGUAAUAAAGAAUUGUUUUGAAUAUGAUGACGUUAGCACGUCGAUCUUUUAUGUGCAACAUAUUAAAUAUUACAUACAGUGUGGUAAUCCGAUAAUUAUUAACACGAGAUACAAAUUUAUUGAAUAAUAUUUAAAUAAUUAUUUUUACAUAGUUUCAGAGAUUUUUUUUUUAGAAAUUGACCAACCUCUUUGGUUUUAUUUUUUAUAGACAAAUUGUAAUGUUUUAUAUUCACUUUAGAAUCUAACAGGGAAAUUGAAUAAGAAUAAGAAGGAAUUUUGACACGUAUACACAACCUUGAGCUAUCGAGAAAGAGAGAGACAGAGAGAGAGAGAGAGAGAGAAAGAGAGAGAGAUGUCUGCAACGUCUUUGUCUCUGUGCUAAUGGAAAUUACAUGCCGCAACGAAUUUCCCUUGCAAAUACAAAGAUUAGUCGAUACUUGUCAAGGACGAAUACUGGAAUCCAUUCUCGCGAUUAUGAACAUUCCAUUUGGUAAAUUAUUACGAAUCAUUCGGACAACGACACGAUCUUUAUUGUUACGUAUACGAUGAGUUAAUGUGAUUGCAAUAUUAACCAUUUUCAUUUACAAUUGGAAUAAUGAAUUAAUAAAGAAUAAUGAUAGCUAGGAAUGAUAGCAAGGAAAUGAACGAUUUGAAAAAUCCUGCGCUUUUUUUACCUUGGAGCAAUUCGAGCGAUAAACUAACUAGGUUCCUUCUUGCAUCAUAUGAUCAAUUACAAGAUAUAAUUAUAUAAAAAUAAGUUAUGCAGAUUAAGUGACAGAACUAAAACGAAUCAUAUCCUGUUCUUUUUUUUUUUUUAUUUUAUAAAAAAGAUAAAAAAAUGUUAGAGAAAAAAGUGAGCAGAAAAUGAACGUCCUCGGGGAAUACCUUCUUUUCACAUAUUCGGUAUUCGCAACGACCUCGUUCUAUAUACUUUUAAGGAAGUUCCAUUGGCGAGAGUGUCCUUUGGAUUAAUUUAUGCAUGAUUUUAAUUAUGCGAAUAUAGUUCAUUAGCGAAUAUAGUUCAAUCAUAAUUUUUAAAAGAGAGAGGAGAGAAUAUUUUUGAUUGUAACAUCAAGAGUUUAUCAGUAAAAAGUGUAAUUAAAGUAUAAUAUAUAACGAUUGCUUACGAACAUUGUAAAUAAUCGCAAUUUCUUACCUAACAAUUUGAUAAUAAAUAAUUAUUCAUUAUCACUCGUUGAUAUAGAAAAUGUUUUUUGUUUUAAGUAUAAAAUAUAUAUUACUAAAAAAGAUUUAAAGAUUUUUAAUGAUACGCCUACGUAUCUUCUCUCUCUCCUUUCUAUUUUUCUCAUUGAAUACUAUCUGACCGGAAAUGGUGCAGCAAUGUCAAUGUUACUCACAUAAUUAGUAUUAGAAUAUGCUCGUGUAGACACGAAUGUAGGAUUCACAAUCAAUUUACGAUCUUUUUAUGUUUUAACCUUUACGCUAAAUCUCGUAAAAAUGAUCUUAAUGAUAUAGAUAUGAUUAGAAAAACUUAACGAAAGCAUAUAGUCGAAUUGUGGUCAUUAGUUUUUCUAGUAAUAAAAGACGCAUUAAACGUGACUUUAAUCGUAAGUCGAUUGAGGGAAAGAUUAGAAACUAUGUGGACUAUUAGCGAAUGGAUGAUUAGAAAUAAUGAAGGAAGAGAUUUCCUAUUGAUAGUCACAGGAAUUGAGUAAAGAAAUCUGCUAUAAAAUAAUUGUUCAUAGAAUAUUAUUUGUUGUUGAAUUGUACACAAAUACAAAAUCGUCAAUUUUCGAUUAAUUUUAAAAAUCGUUCAUUAAUUAAUCUUCUUCGAAGAACAAUUGAAUGAUGCUUAUUCUCGACCAACUUGAAAUAUCCAUUUCCGUCAGAAACUCUUUUCAUUCUUUUUUUCUUUUAUUUUUUUUCACUUAUUUCUUGGCGAUAUGCUCACUCCCUCAGCGACUGCACUGAGCGAUUUUCUCAACGUUCGUAUUUUUCAACUUCCUCGCGUUAUCUUUGAUCGCGUGGCAAAGCAAAUCAUAAUUAACACACACACACGAAAGAUCUCGCAUUAUCUCUUUUUACCUAAGACAUAUAUCAUGCCAUUUUGCAUCUUCUCUAAUGCAUAAAAUUCAACGAGAUCAUUUUGUUAUAAGUUGUAUAAUAUUUUUUUAAUUUUAUAUAGUGUUGAGAAUAAAAUCUUCUUUAAUCUUUUUUCUUUUUCAGAUUCAUGAAGAAAUACCUAAUAACAACAACAAAAAUAAAAUGACAUGAACAUCUCUAUACCUUGUAAUCAUUGUAAAAUCUCUAAGGAUUUUGUUCUUUCAAGAAAAAAAAAUAAGAAAAUAGAAGGAAAGACAGAGUUCGUGAUUCGCACGAAAGAUUCUUCCCCGUGUCUGGGAGAGAAACGUCGACGGCAUAAAGAAUCGAUUCUUCGGAGUCCAGCGACCCUUUUACUUCGUCUGCGAAUUGAAAACGUCGUUGACCAUUGAAUGCGUCUGGGAUGCAUUGUAUCUGUAUAUACUGAUGAAAUGUACAGGGUGUCCCAUUUAACAUCCCAAAAAUAUUAUGAUAAUCUAACACUUUCUUCUGUUUUAAUUUACAGAUAGCGUUCUAUAAUAUUUGAGUCAUGCAUUUCGUUACUAAUAAUCAUAAGGAAAAGAAAGAGAGAGAGAGAGAGAGAGAGAGAGAGAGAGAGAAAUAAUGAAAUGAAGAAAAGAUAAGAAGAAGAAGAUAAUAUCGUAUAUAAUUUACAAGUCGUGUCUACUUCAAGGUUUCUCGAGAUCCUGAACGAAGUCGAGAUGAGCGUAGGUCGUCGCCGAAGAAACGAAAUAAAAAUUCCAUAAGUGUAUAGAGAAGGAGGUGAUGAGGGGGAAGUAAAGUAGGAGGAGUAGGCGCCGCUGGGUAAUCGACCGAUCGAGUUUGACCAGAGUUGAUCGUUGGACGACCUUGGAAAGUAUCGUCUCUCUCCCAGAUUCGUUUGAUAGGUGUAGAAAAUCUCGUUAGUUCCGAUCAUCGAUUUGACUCGAUCAAGUUGGAAAGUCUCUCGAAAGAGUCAAGCGGAAAAGGAAAGGAAAGCUUAUUUGCCUCAGUUAACGUGGCAACAUUAAAGUCAUUAUGGCAUACUAUGUCGUUGGUUAAAUGAGUAAGAUACCAGGAGGACGUAGAUAUUGCAUAAACUUCUCUAUCGCAUUCGAAAGCACAAGCUGAAAUACAUCCUGUUCGUCUAAUUUCAUUCAAGAAUUUGUACAUCAUCGUCUGAAUUCAAGAAGAAGAAAGUGCAUGAAUGUUUAUUUUUUCUAUGAUAAAAAUAUUAACAAGAACAAAGCUAUUGCACAUUCAAUUUUUUUUCAAAUUUCUAUGUAAAUCCAAAUAAUUUUGUAAAAUGCCAUCCAGCAAUUGUUGAUUUUGUAAAUCGAUUUUUCUUCUUUAUUUAUAGAACGAUUAACGAUACGGAUAGAUGAUGGUUUGAAAAAAAAAAAGAUAUCGUAAGUGUUGGUGCAAUAGCUUCGCAUAAUUAUUGCGAGAAUAAUUAAGUCCCUGCGCCGGAAAGUAACGUCGUACAUACAUUCUGACCCGAUUCUCUUACAUUCUCCGAGGUACCAUUACACAAUUAGAGAUAACAACGGAUCGUGGGACCGACCAAAGUCGAAACGAUGCAGUCAGUUCCGAUCGUAAACGUCACUCCGAUAUUUCAUGAUCUCUUUCUGUUUAUCUUUCUCUCUCUCCUUAUUGUUACCUUUGUUCUUUAUUCUCUACGAAUCUCGAUCUUUAUCUGCCAUCGAUCUAGACCCAGGAUACUGUUAGUACUUUUUAAUGACGGAAGAAAAGUCGAAAAUUUAUAAAAAUCAAUGUAACAUUUUUCUUUCCUUUUUUUCUCUUUUUUUUUGUUUUUGUAAUAAUAUGCGUCAUUCGUAACUACGUAUCUUUAAGCGGUGUUUUAUAAAUCCAAAGACUUUUUCAGAUUAUUAUAUAUCUAGUAUACACAUACACAUACGCAUAUCCACAUAUGUGUGUGUGUAUUAUAGUAUAAAUGUAUAAAUGUAUCGGUCGGCUAUCAGUUUUUUUUUCUAGCAUUUUCUAGCAUAAGAUUAAGUAUCCUUAGCAAGUGACACGUCACGAGCUUGCUCGACCCGUUUUGUGGAAUUUCGUUUAUAUUGCCAGAUGUCGCGAAGAGUUAUAAUUCACGACUUAAAAUGAUAGAUAAUUGUUAUGUAUCUCUUUCAACACUGUAAGAAAUCUAAGAAAAGAAGUACCAAGUUUCCUCGAAAAUUUAUUCUUUCGAGAUUCGUAAUUCUAAUAUUUAUUUUAUAUUACACGGAUAAUUAUUACAUCAGAACAAGAAUCAAAAUUUUGAUUGAUCAGUGCAGAUGAUGAUUUUUAUUGAUCGAUUCAAAUGAUGAAUUUUCAUAAUACGAUUAGUUUAUGUUCUAAAAUAGUAUUUCUAAUUAUUCUAUCGCUACGUAUUUCAAAACAUUGAAACGUAAAUAGAAAGAGAGAGAGAGAGAGAGAGAGAGGCAGACAGUAAAAGGUUAUAUACAUAGCUCGAGGGUUCAAUCCUGUUGCGUUUGUCACACGAGCCACUCAAGAAUCUUACGUCUGGCGCCAAGCUUGAUCAUGGAAAAUGGUUGGAGAGAAGAUGGAGAGAGAGAGAAAGAGAAACAAGAAAGAAGAAAUAAGCGACGUCAAAAAAAGAUAUGUAAUCUCUCUUCUACGUGUUCAGUUCUCGCAUAAGCUUCGACCAAGUAAAAGAAACGAAACAAAGGAUUGCGUAUAAUCAAUGGUGUGUUUAUAUAUAUAUAUAUAUAUAUAUAUAUAUAAAACACCUGACCGUUUCAUCUUUUUCUAUUUAAGAGAUGUCCUUUUAAAAGAUCUCACAAGUUCGAGGAAUCUGUUAGAAAAUAUGAUGACUGAACGAUCGAUAGAACGCGAAAAUAGUUUUUUAUUUAUUUUUUUUUUUUUUUUGAGACAAAACUCGUGUAAAUCCUUAUCUAUCCCUUUGUUUCACGCAUAUGCAUAUACGUAGGCUAUUAUUAGAACGAAACGCACGUGUCUCACGUUCAUUUUGUUAUAAAAGGCACGACGAACGCGUUGCAAUACGUUGACGUUGACGAACACGAUCGCUCCUGUGCAUACGAAGAGCCAUUUAAACGACAAUGCGACGAUGAAGUACAAUUGCGUUCUCGUUCAAGGGGGGAACCGACAAGAAUACCCUUCAUAAUAAUCAUUUUCACUCUUUAAACUAAGCUCAAUGAUCUUUCGAGCUUACUCGAUAGGAUACUUUAAUAAAAUCGCACUGAAAUCUUCCUUUUCUUCUUUUUUUUCUUCAUUAUUAGUGAUUUGAAACAUUGUUUUUUUAUCUAAUGAAAAUGUAAUAUUAAUGUCUUGACUUAAUAUAUCAUUUUGUAAUAAUUAUAUCUUUAGAUUUUGCAAUGAAAAUUUUUAACGUAUAUACACUGUCGAAAUACUAACGGCAAAGGGAAGUAACGUUAUGUCCGCUUUCCCUUCCGCGAUACCGCUUUAGUAUGACCCCUGGAGAAAUCGCUCCGAUUUACAGUACUAAGGACGACUGUUCACUCAAGUAGAAGAAGAAGAAGAAAAAGAAGAAGAAACUUAUUAUUUUCUUUAUUUCAUUUCUUUUUCUUAUUCGAUUUCUACGUAACCAACAAUGACUUGCAUAUCAAUUCGUUCCAAUAUUAUUUUAUUAAUCUUUCAAAUAGAAAAGAAAUGAAAUUUCGUUCGGACAAUGGAAAGGAUCUAUAAAGGUGAUACCUACAUAUUAAAACGUAUACUCUUCUUUCUUUAUUAACUUUAUACUCUUUGUCGCUUUAUUUAAUUAACAAAGUCAUCGAGGUAAUUUCUAAAUGACCACGAUACUCUUUGGUAUACAUUAAGUGUGUAUGUGUGUGCAUGUAAUAAUAUUCGACCGAAUUACCAAAUUAGAAUUUUUGUCAUGGCUUUGAAAGUAACGCGAAAGUGGCGAGAUAAUUAAUUAGUUUAAACGCGUGAACGAUAUACAAAACAUAGGUCGAACCACCAGAAGGGGGGUUCGGUUAGUCUCUCGAAAGUAUUCUUCAAAAGGCACGAUCGGUGACGGUGUCCUGAGCUCGUCGAUACGCCACAAGGAUUUUCAGGCCAGUGAACAGUAUAAUGAUGCGAGCACGAAACCGUGUAGGUACGGAAAAAAACAAAAAGAAAGGGAGAGAGAGAGAGAGAGAGAGAGAGAGAGAGAGAGAUAACUCGAAUAAUUUUCAAAAAAGAUUAAAUCAGGGAAAAGUGAUCAUUAACUUAUUCAUUUAUGAAGCAGAUCCGAAUAUGUGAUAUUUUCAUGUCGAUCGAAUAUUUUAAGAAUACGUCUCCGUUUUCCUUGUUAAUUUCUUUUAAUACGAUCUUUCUAAUUUUGAGAAUUAGAACAAAAGAAAAAAAUUGUGGCAGCUCUAAGCAGUAUUAAGGUAUUAACUGAUACGACUUUCAGGAAAAGAUGUUCAACUCUAAGAAAUCUGUAUAAAUCUUAUCACUUUCAAUGAAACUUCCUUGAAUUGGUAUUAAAUUUUAUUAAAGCAUACAAAUAAAAUUUCUCGAUUAAUUUAGAGGUCAUAUUAAUAAAAUUUUACUUCUUAAUGAAGUUUGUUUAACUAUGAAGUUUCUUCGUUAAAAAAAAGUAAUAUACAUAUUUAUAAUAUAGAUCAGACAAUCUUUUAUGUAUUCAAUUGUUAAUAUUCAAUAAUUUGGACUUCGAAUUGAAUUUUUGAAUCAUAAAUAUAUCAACUGUUUUUAACUUUGUAAACAUUCGAGAUAAGAAGGCAAAUUUAUUUUACGAAAUAAAGUUGCUUUUGUUGCUUCAAGUGAGCAUGACUUACUAAGCAAUUAUGUUCUUUGCGUAAUGUGUACGAUUGUCGAGGAUACUUACGCAAAUGCAAGGACGUAUUACACAUAUAUUUUAUACAAACGAAUGUUUUUUAAAAAGUUUGUUACUCCUCUUGUAAACGUUUCUUAUUUGUUUUUUUUGCAUAAUCAAUCAUUUAAUCUCAUGAAUAUUCAUCGAAUAUUAUGAGUACAUUUUUUCAAUGUACGUAUGAUUCAAAAACGUAAACAAUCUUCAAUGUAUGUACGAUGUAACCAAUACUUAAUAUCGAGUGUGAAUCUACAUAUAUAUAUAUAUCUUGUCUAAUAUUGAAAUAUAAAAAUCAAUUGUCAAUUUCAUGGAAAAAGUCUCGGCUAUUUUCGUGAACAAAUUUCACUAUCGGAGAAAGCGAUAACUAUGAAGAUGAUAACUAAGUAUUCUCUCUUUUUUUUUUACAGAUACUCUACCAAGAACUAUCUAAGAAUGCCUUCCAGUAAAAUAGACGUCUUAAUAGGACUUGAUAAUAACCAUAAACAAACUUUUCUUCGUGUUCGACUAAUCAUCACGUUAUCAUUGUAAUAAGAUAUUUGAAUCAUCCAAAUGGGAUUAUUCAAAGAAUAUAAAUCAGAAUAUAUAUCAUGAUGUUCUGAUAAGUAUAAUUAUGAAGAUUAUCCACAACAGAUUAAAAAAGAAGAUAAAAGAAAAAAAAAGAAACUUGCAGCUAAUCGUAAAAAAUAGAAACGGAAGGACUUGUAUUAUUGGUCGACGAGCUUCCGGUGUGAAACCCUCUCUCUACGCAGAGACUAUUCUAAGCAUUUGCCUGGCCUCCUCCGUUACACCUACGCACGUAUUUCAUAAUCGAUAGUAUUAAGCAACAGUCAGGUCGACAUAUACGUCUCCUUGGUGGUAACAAUAAGAAGAAAUCUUUGUUUACAAAUUAAAGUAAACAGUAUCGUCAUUGGAAGAAAUUCACCGUCCAUUUACGAAGAAGCGUGGCAUGUAUACAAACGUUAACACGUAUUAGCUUGCGAGACGCAGAAGAAGAGACACACGAGAAGCAAUCGAGUAUAAUCGUUCGUAGACCGUUCCGUUCGCAUUAGGCAAGCUUAAUGACCGUAUAAAAGGGUGCCACGUGGGUGUUCGUUAUCUUCGCUGAGCUACACCCUUUUCCUCUUCGAAAUUCGCCUCACUCGUCUUUGUCGCAUACGUCUGCCUAUACCGGCUGGCCCCGUUUUAGUUUCGUCUUUUUGUAUCUUUCGUUUUAUGUUCCUCAUAUACUGCGGGUGUGCAUAUGGUAUAUACAUACAUAUAUGUAUGUAUAUAUAUAAAAUCAUAUACAUAGAUGUGUUAUUUUAAGAACAGAAGCUCAUUUAAACGUUUCAGAGUAUUAGAAACUUAACGGUUAAGCUGACAAGCAUAAAUUAAACAUUUGUCGGAUUGUAAAAAUGAACUGUUGAUUGAAAGAAUUUGUUAUAAAAAAAAAAAAAAGAGAAAAAAAAGAGAAAAAAAAGGAAAAAAAAAAAAAAGAAAAA